AUUCUUUCUCAGAGGCAAUAUUGUAGCUUAUGAGGUUUAGACGCAAUCAUUGCUGGAUGAAAACUUUACCCAAUAGCCCACCAGGAUGACUUGAAAUAUAGUCAGCCUUGCCAUAUUUUGCCAGCUUCUCUAGAAG
ensembl:snRNA U4 U4 spliceosomal RNA